rnacentral:rRNA from 1 species
AUUGAACGCUGGCGGCAUGCCUUACACAUGCAAGUCGAACGGCAGCACGGGGCAACCUGGUGGCGAGUGGCGAACGGGUGAGUAAUGCAUCGGAACGUACCUUUCAGUGGGGGAUAACGUAGCGAAAGUUACGCUAAUACCGCAUAUUCUGUGAGCAGGAAAGCAGGGGAUCGCAAGACCUUGCGCUGAUUGAGCGGCCGAUGUCAGAUUAGCUAGUUGGUGAGGUAAAGGCUCACCAAGGCGACGAUCUGUAGCGGGUCUGAUAGGAUGAUCCGCCACACUGGAACUGGGACACGGUCCAGGCUCCUACGGGAGGCAGCAGUGGGGAAUUUUGGACAAUGGGGGCAACCCUGAUCCAGCCAUGCCGCGUGAGUGAAGAAGGCCUUCGGGUUGUAAAGCUCUUUCGGCCGGGAAGAAAUCGCACGGGCUAAUACCCUGUGUGGAUGACGGUACCGGAAUAAGAAGCACCGGCUAACUACGUGCCAGCCGCCGCCGUAAGAC